rnacentral:rRNA from 1 species
AGCGAACGCUGGCGGCAGGCUUAACACAUGCAAGUCGAGCGGGCAUAGCAAUAUGUCAGCGGCAGACGGGUGAGUAACGCGUGGGAACGUACCUUUUGGUUCGGAACAACACAGGGAAACUUGUGCUAAUACCGGAUAAGCCCUUACGGGGAAAGAUUUAUCGCCGAAAGAUCGGCCCGCGUCUGAUUAGCUAGUUGGUGAGGUAAUGGCUCACCAAGGCGACGAUCAGUAGCUGGUCUGAGAGGAUGAUCAGCCACAUUGGGACUGAGACACGGCCCAAACUCCUACGGGAGGCAGCAGUGGGGAAUAUUGGACAAUAGGCGCAAGCCUGAUCCAGCCAUGCCGCGUGAGUGAUGGAGGCCCUAGGGUUGUAAAGCUCUUUUGUGCGGGAGGAUAAUGACGGUACCGCAAGAAUAAGCCCCGGCUAACUUCGUGCCAGCAGCCGCAGUAA